rnacentral:rRNA from 1 species
GUGCCAGCAGCCGCGGUAAUACGUAGGGUGCGAGCGUUGUCCGGAAUUACUGGGCGUAAAGAGCUCGUAGGUGGUUUGUCGCGUUGUUCGUGAAAACCGGGGGCUUAACCCUCGGCGUGCGGGCGAUACGGGCAGACUGGAGUACUGCAGGGGAGACUGGAAUUCCUGGUGUAGCGGUGGAAUGCGCAGAUAUCAGGAGGAACACCGGUGGCGAAGGCGGGUCUCUGGGCAGUAACUGACGCUGAGGAGCGAAAGCGUGGGGAGCGAACAGGAUUAGAUACCCUGGUAGUCC